AUAAUGACUAAUUAAGGUAGUAUCUUAAUGAAAAACCCAUAUACUAUGGCGGUCGCACUCUUUUAGAGGAACUCGCUUCAUAAUCGUCAACACCCGAUAAAUUUUACUUAUUAUUUCAAAGCCUAUAUACCGCCGUUACAGGAUUAAUUAACUAAUAAAAUCCAGAAAAGAAUCACUAAAAAAUCAGGUCAAGGUGUAGCCCACAAAUAAGAAGAAGUAAGUUACAUUAAGAUAUCACUUAAGGAUAUAAAUCAAAAAAUAAAUAAGAAAAAGAAUCUAAUUACAAAUUUAGAUCAAAAAUCUAAAUAUAAAAUUUAAAGAACGACGC
rnacentral:rRNA from 1 species